UACGUAGGGGGCAAGCGUUGUCCGGAAUCAUUGGGCGUAAAGCGCGCGUAGGCGGCCCGGUAAGUCCGCUGUAAAAGUCCAGGGCUCAACCCUGGAAAGCCGGUGGAUACUGUCGGGCUAGAGUCCGGAAGAGGCGAGUGGAAUUCCUGGUGUAGCGGUGGAAUGCGCAGAUAUCAGGAGGAACACCGAUGGCGAAGGCAGCUCGCUGGGACGUUACUGACACUGAGGCGCGAAAGCGUGGGGAGCGAACAGG
rnacentral:rRNA from 1 species